GGAAUAUUGCGCAAUGGGCGAAAGCCUGACGCAGCCACGCCGCGUGAGCGAUGAAGGCCUUCGGGUCGUAAAGCUCUGUGGGGGGAGAAGAAACCUGACGGUAUCCCCUUAGCAAGCACCGGCUAACUCCGUGCCAGCAGCCGCGGUAAUACGGAGGGUGCAAACGUUGCCCGGAAUUAUUGGGCGUAAAGCGCACGUAGGCGGCCCCGCAAGCUGGAUGUGAAAGCCCCGGGCUCAACCCGGGAAGUGCACCCAGAACUGCUUGGCUUGAGUUCCGGAGGGGCCCAGAGAAUUCCCGGUGUAGAGGUGAAAUUCGUAGAUAUCGGGAGGAAUACCAGUGGCGAAGGCGCUGGGCUGGACGGAUACUGACGCUGAGGUGCGAAAGCGUGGGGAGCAAAC
rnacentral:rRNA from 1 species